UACGGAGGGUGCAAGCGUUAUCCGGAUUUACUGGGUUUAAAGGGUGCGUAGGUGGGUCUGUAAGUCAGUGGUGAAAUCUCCGAGCUUAACUCGGAAACUGCCAUUGAUACUAUAGGUCUUGAAGUAUCUGGAGGUAAGCGGAAUAUGUCAUGUAGCGGUGAAAUGCUUAGAUAUGACAUAGAACACCAAUUGCGAAGGCAGCUUACUACGGAUAUAUUGACACUGAGGCACGAAAGCGUGGGGAUCAAACAGG
rnacentral:rRNA from 1 species